GUCCACGCAGUAAACGAUGAUUACUAGCUGUUUGCGAUACACAGUAAGCGGUACAGCGAAAGCGUUAAGUAAUCCACCUGGGGAGUACGCCGGCAACGGUGAAACUCAAAGGAAUUGACGGGGGCCCGCACAAGCGGAGGAACAUGUGGUUUAAUUCGAUGAUACGCGAGGAACCUUACCCGGGUUUGAACGUAGGGAGACAGGAGUGGAAACAUUCUUUUCAGCAAUGACUGCCUACGAGGUGCUGCAUGGUUGUCGU
rnacentral:rRNA from 1 species